GGCCCUUUAGCUCAGUGGUCAGAGCGAGCGGCUCAUAACCGCCAGGUCGCCGGUUCAAGCCCGGCAGGGGCCACCA
rnacentral:tRNA from 1 species